CGUGUUUUCAACAACUGCACAGGUAGAGACUCCCGAUCACAAAGGUUCAUGGCCACAGGGAACCCGCUUCCGGCGGAGCUGUUGCAACCGCAGCUCGGACUGUAUCCCUCGCAGCCGCAUGAAGACCAACAACCUGCAGCGCUGGCACAGCCACAAGAACAACCGACAGCGCCGCCUGACGGGCAAGUUCAGCUGUGGCUUGACCCCCAGCUGCAGCCACUUCAGCAGCCUCAGGUUCUUGAACAGCCGUAUCUGCAGCAACGGCCGUACCGGCUGCCAGCGAAGCCGGCCGAGCAGGCGUUCGCUCCCGAUAGCGAUCACAGCUGGAUGGUCGCCGGUGCGGCUGCCUUCAACAUCUUCUGCUGCUCGCUGCUGCGGCGAGGCAUGCCGGUCAUGUUCCACGCCGUGGGCGAGACGUUCGCCACCACGGCCAAGGGCUCGGUCGCCUGGACGAACGCGUUCAUCUACAGCCUGGCAUACACGCUGUGAUUGGGCGCGGCGCUGUCUUCGGUCGUGGACGAGAUGACGCUGUACCUGCACUUCGCGGCCCAGCGUCAACAGGCCGCGUUACUCUACCACGUGGCUUUCUCGCUGUCCGCCAUCGUGUACCCCCUGGUGCUCUCGCUGCUCUUGGAAUUAUACGGACUGAACGGCGCCCUGCUUGUAUCCGGCGCUAUAUCUCUGAACGCGCUUAUCGGCUCCAUGUUCAUGACAAGGCCCGUGUGGAUGUCCCCGAGUGAGCCAUUACCGCCAAUUCACCGGCCAGACGGCACGCAGAUCACCGCGGCCGCUGCCAUCCGACCAGUAACAGGGACUCAAGAGAUGACCGUGAAAGAAGACGCCAACCAGAAGCCGGAGGCUCCCACGGUGUGUUCAUCGCAACGAGUGGUUCUCCCAGUGGCUGAUAUCGCGAGAUGUCGUAAACUUGUUAUAUAUUCCAUGUCAGGUUGACUAAACUAAAAACACAAACACACAUACGCAGGUCCAGCAUAAUGUUGUAAUUGAAAUGCCGCGAUUCUUGUUUUUUGAGUUAGCGAGGUAGCACCAGUAGUCGAUGACACGAGCACAGGCCUCGUUGCCUGUAGCCGUUAGCUGUCUACGUCACGAGGACGUAGGCGAUGUCUGAUGCUUGUCGAGAGAAUAAUGCUGAUGUGUGGUAUACGGCGCAGAGAAAA
rnacentral:misc_RNA from 1 species